GACGAACGCUGGCGGCGUGCUUAACACAUGCAAGUCGAACGCUGAAGCUCAGCUUUUGUUGGGUGGAUGAGUGGCGAACGGGUGAGUAACACGUGAGUAACCUGCCCCCUUCUUUGGGAUAACGCCCGGAAACGGGUGCUAAUACUGGAUAUUCACUGGUCUUCGCAUGGGGGUUGGUGGAAAGGGUUUUUCUGGUGGGGGAUGGGCUCGCGGCCUAUCAGCUUGUUGGUGGGGUGAUGGCCUACCAAGGCUUUGACGGGUAGCCGGCCUGAAAGGGUGACCGGUCACAUUGGGACUGAGAUACGGCCCAGACUCCUACGGGAGGCAGCAGUGGGGAAUAUUGCACAAUGGGCGCAAGCCUGAUGCAGCGACGCCGCGUGAGGGAUGGAGGCCUUCGGGUUGUGAACCUCUUUCGCUCAUGGUCAAGCCGCAACAAUGGUUGUGGUGAGGGUAGUGGGUAAAGAAGCGCCGGCUAACUACGUG
rnacentral:rRNA from 1 species